rnacentral:rRNA from 1 species
UGGGGAAUAUUGGACAAUGGGCGCAAGCCUGAUCCAGCCAUGCCGCGUGAGUGAAGAAGGCCUUAGGGUUGUAAAGCUCUUUCAGUCAUGAAGAUAAUGACGGUAAUGACAGAAGAAGCCCCGGCUAACUCCGUGCCAGCAGCCGCGGUAAUACGGAGGGGGCUAGCGUUGUUCGGAAUUACUGGGCGUAAAGCGCACGUAGGCGGAUUGGUCAGUUGGGGGUGAAAUCCCGAGGCUUAACCUCGGAACUGCCUUCAAAACUGCCAGUCUUGAGUCCGGGAGAGGUGAGUGGAAUUCCUAGUGUAGAGGUGAAAUUCGUAGAUAUUAGGAAGAACACCAGUGGCGAAGGCGGCUCACUGGCCCGGUACUGACGCUGAGGUGCGAAAGCGUGGGGAGCAAACAGGAUUAGAUACCCCCGUAGUCC